rnacentral:rRNA from 1 species
UACGUAUGGUGCAAGCGUUAUCCGGAUUUACUGGGUGUAAAGGGAGCGCAGGCGGCACGGCAAGCCUGAUGUGAAAGCCCGCGGCCCAACCGCGGGACUGCAUUGGGAACUACCGGGCUGGAGUGCCGGAGAGGUAGGCGGAAUUCCUAGUGUAGCGGUGAAAUGCGUAGAUAUUAGGAGGAACACCAGUGGCGAAGGCGGCUUGCUGGACUGUAAAUGACGCUGAGGCUCGAAAGCGUGGGGAGCAAACAGG